GUAUCAUAUUACAAUUGGAAAGAUUGAUUGUUAUUUUAUGAUUGGAAUAUUGGUCAACUCUGAACUUGUAAGGAGAAAACACCAAGUGGGGAGAAACUGUGCACCUGUCCUGUGUGUGGAUGAAAUCAUCUGAACUGUCAAGACAUAAUCACAGUCAUGCUGGGGAGAAAGUAUGGAAAUAUGAGGACAGUGAAUGAGGAUUCAAAUCCCCACCUCAACUGGAAAUUCAUCAAUGCACUCACACUGAGGAAAGGCCAUUCAUCUGCUCUAAGUGUGGGAAGGGAUUCACUCAGUCUUCUCAACUGCAGGCAGACCACAGAGUUCACCCAGAUAAAAGAACUUUUAAAAUGACUAGACUGUGGAAAAUGCCAUAGAAAUUCUGGGCAACUGAUGUGCCAUUGACGUAUUCGAACAGAGGAGAGACCAUUCAGGAGUUCGCACUGCGGCAUUAAGUUCAGGCAAUCAUUUCAACUCCCUACACACCAGCGAGAUCACACUGUGUAGAGGCUGAGAAUCUGCUCUGACUGCGGGAAGGCGUUCAUUCAGUCAUCCAGCUGCAGAUAUAUCGGCAAACCCAGACUGUUCCCCUGAGCCGAAUGAGAAGGCAUUCUGUACCAUAUCCUGUGUGCAAAAACAUCGGCGGAGGGAACAACAUCCAGAGAAAUG